UUCGAUCUUAUGAUAUACAUGCAGUCGAGCGGACAGAUGGGAGCUUGCUCCCUGAUGUUAGCGGCGGACGGGUGAGUAACACGUGGGUAACCUGCCUGUAAGACUGGGAUAACUCCGGGAAACCGGGGCUAAUACCGGAUGGUUGUUUGAACCGCAUGGUUCAAACAUAAAAGGUGGCUUCGGCUACCACUUACAGAUGGACCCGCGGCGCAUUAGCUAGUUGGUGAGGUAACGGCUCACCAAGGCAACGAUGCGUAGCCGACCUGAGAGGGUGAUCGGCCACACUGGGACUGAGACACGGCCCAGACUCCUACGGGAGGCAGCAGUAGGGAAUCUUCCGCAAUGGACGAAAGUCUGACGGAGCAACGCCGCGUGAGUGAUGAAGGUUUUCGGAUCGUAAAGCUCUGUUGUUAGGGAAGAACAAGUACCGUUCGAAUAGGGCGGUACCUUGACGGUACCUAACCAGAAAGCCACGGCUAACUACGUGCCAGCAGCCGCGGUAAUACGUAGGUGGCAAGCGUUGUCCGGAAUUAUUGGGCGUAAAGGGCUCGCAGGCGGUUUCUUAAGUCUGAUGUGAAAGCCCCCGGCUCAACCGGGGAGGGUCAUUGGAAACUGGGGAACUUGAGUGCAGAAGAGGAGAGUGGAAUUCCACGUGUAGCGGUGAAAUGCGUAGAGAUGUGGAGGAACACCAGUGGCGAAGGCGACUCUCUGGUCUGUAACUGACGCUGAGGAGCGAAAGCGUGGGGAGCGAACAGGAUUAGAUACCCUGGUAGUCCACGCCGUAAACGAUGAGUGCUAAGUGUUAGGGGGUUUCCGCCCCUUAGUGCUGCAGCUAACGCAUUAAGCACUCCGCCUGGGGAGUACGGUCGCAAGACUGAAACUCAAAGGAAUUGACGGGGGCCCGCACAAGCGGUGGAGCAUGUGGUUUAAUUCRAAGCAACGCGAAGAACCUUWCCAGGUCUUGACAUCCUCUGACAAUCCUAGAGAUAGGACGUCCCCUUCGGGGGCAGAGUGACAGGUGGUGCAUGGUUGUCGUCAGCUCGUGUCGUGAGAUGUUGGGUUAAGUCCCGCAACGAGCGCAACCCUUGAUCUUAGUUGCCAGCAUUCAGUUGGGCACUCUAAGGUGACUGCCGGUGACAAACCGGAGGAAGGUGGGGAUGACGUCAAAUCAUCAUGCCCCUUAUGACCUGGGCUACACACGUGCUACAAUGGACAGAACAAASGGCAGCKAAACCGCGAGGUUAAGCCAAUCCCACAAAUCUGUUCUCAGUUCGGAUCGCAGUCUGCAACUCGACUGCGUGAAGCUGGAAUCGCUAGUAAUCGCGGAUCAGCAUGCCGCGAU
rnacentral:rRNA from 2 species